rnacentral:lncRNA from 1 species
AAAAUGAAAAUACCACUUUAUUAAUUUUAAGUAUCUAAAACAUUUGGGAUGUUUAAAACCAAAUAUUUUAAAUCUGAGGAUUGUUAUGACCACAUUUUGUAAAAUUGGUUGGAAAAUUCAUGAAAUACUGACUUUGAUCAUAAAUGUAAUAAAUAAUGGCAACUUUUUGUUUUUCGGUAAUUUAAAAUAUUUAGACACAUUCCAAAAACUUAGCAUAAGGGUGAUAGUGACCACUACAGGCUAACUUCUAUAAAUGUCACCUCUCUGAUACAGUAGUUUGCUUUGGUUCAAUAUGUGACAUUCAUGUACUGGUUUGACUGUAUUUUCAACUAAUUUUUUUAGUCUGUCUUGUAAUGAUCAUCUACAAGUAUUCUUAUUUAGUAUAUUUAAAUUGGAAUAGUUUGGGUGACAAUUAGUUCCCUCAGAUUCUAAAUUGCAAAGUUACUUAGUAAGUAUCCCACUUUAAUCUUGUUGAACUGACUUCUAGACUUUAGAAUAAGUGGAUUUUUGAAUAAUUUCUAUUUGUUUUAGACUUUGUUUAAUUCAUCACGUCAAACCUUGAAUGGAUCUUUUAUCACACUGGGUUUUAUAACAUGCUUAAAGUUGGUUAGUCAAAUAACAUAAUAAUCUAGUUUGCCCUUUAACAUACCAUCAAAGGGAAGUAACAGCAACUCAACUCUUCGUCCCUGUCUUUCAUCCUAUUUGAAUAUUCUACUAUUUUAAAAAAAUCUCUAUCUUUGGAUUUAAUAAUAAUGUGUUUCUUGACAAAAGUUAUUGUAACAGAUAUAUAACCAGAUGCUCCGCAGGGCGUAGCUUUAUACGACCGCAGAGGUUGAACC